rnacentral:rRNA from 1 species
UCAGAUUGAACGCUGGCGGCAGGCUUAACACAUGCAAGUCGAGCGGUAACAGGGGGUGCUUGCACCCCGCUGACGAGCGGCGGACGGGUGAGUAAUGCAUAGGAAACUGCCCAGUAGUGGGGGAUAGCCCGGGGAAACCCGGAUUAAUACCGCGUACGCCCUUCGGGGGAAAGCAGGGGCUCUUCGGACCUUGCGCUAUUGGAUGUGCCUAUGUCGGAUUAGCUAGUUGGUGGGGUAAAGGCCUACCAAGGCGACGAUCCGUAGCUGGUCUGAGAGGAUGAUCAGCCACAUCGGGACUGAGACACGGCCCGAACUCCUACGGGAGGCAGCAGUGGGGAAUAUUGGACAAUGGGGGCAACCCUGAUCCAGCCAUGCCGCGUGUGUGAAGAAGGCUUUCGGGUUGUAAAGCACUUUCAGUGAGGAGGAAAAGUUGGUCGUUAAUACCGGCCAGCCUUGACGUUACUCACAGAANAAGCACCGGCUAACUCCGUGCCAGCAGCCGCGGUAAUACGGAGGGUGCAAGCGUUAAUCGGAAUUACUGGGCGUAAAGCGCGCGUAGGUGGUUUGAUAAGCGAGAUGUG